rnacentral:rRNA from 1 species
CAGAGUUGAUCCUGGCUCAGGACGAACGCUGGCGGCGUGCUUUAUACAUGCAAGUCGAACGUGAAGCUGACUUCGGUCAGUGGAAAGUGGCGGACGGGUGAGUAAUAUGUAGGAAAUCUGCCCUAGAGAGGGGGACAACAGAGGGAAACUUCUGCUAAUACCCCAUAUGAGCUAAGUUGAAAUACUUAUCUUGAAAACUCCGGUGCUCUAGGAUGAGCCUGCAUCUGAUUAGCUAGUUGGUGG